CCUACGGGAGGCAGCAGUGGGGAAUAUUGCACAAUGGGGGAAACCCUGAUGCAGCGACGCCGCGUGAGUGAAGAAGUAUUUCGGUAUGUAAAGCUCUAUCAGCAGGGAAGAAAAUGACGGUACCUGAUUAAGAAGCCCCGGCUAACUACGUGCCAGCAGCCGCGGUAAGACGUAGGGGGCAAGCGUUAUCCGGAUUUACUGGGUGUAAAGGGAGCGUAGACGGCAGCACAAGUCUGGAGGGAAAUGCCGGGGCUUAACCCCGGAACUGCUUUGGAAAAGGUGCAGCUAGAGUGCAGGAGAGGUAAGUGGAAUUCCUAGUGUAGCGGUGAAAUGCGUAGAUAUUAGGAGGAACACCAGUGGCGAAGGCGGCUUACUGGACUGUAACUGACGUUGAGGCUCGAAAGCGUGGGGAGCAAACAGGAUUAGAUACUGGUAGUC
rnacentral:rRNA from 1 species